AAUACACGUGCUAAGUACAUAUGGUUAACUUUUACAUGGGUUGCUUAUGGCCCAAGCAAGAUAAUUUUGCAUCGCCCAAGUUCUGCUACAUGACAUGUCGGACUAGGCCUUGGUGUGCUUGUGCAUGGAUCAGGUGGCCUGUUUGAUACGUUCAGGUUCUGGACUUGGCUUGUAGCCCUUGCAUUCUGUCUGGGCCACGUGGCCUAUUUGACACGGCCAGAAUGCCUUGUGUCUCAGUCUGCUGGUGCAAGCUUGGCUCAGUCAGGAUUUCUACAACUGGUGCAUGCUUGGCUCAUUGCCUCGGUCAUCUGGUGCAUGCUUGGCUUGGUCAGGAUGUCAGCUAACUCGGUCAUCUGGUGUGUGCUUGGCUCGGUCAUCUGGUGCGUGUUCCUCAGUCAGAUUGCAUGCCACUGUCUCGUUCUUUUGGCUAGAUAAUACAGUCAUGGUGCAUGGAUCUUGGCAGGAUGACUCAGUCUUUUGGCAAAAUUGGUUCAGGUUUGGUGCAUCAAUUUGUUGAGUUUUAGGAUGAUAAAUUCUAUCUUAAUAAAAAUAUCCAUGCAUAUCAAACAACAGAGUUGAUACCACCGGUGUUGGUCCAGAUGAUACAUACUUGAUUGCUCUCAAGUAAAGUCUAGAGUUUGAGUCUUGUAGAUAGAAAAAAUAAGUGAUUCCCUUAAGCCGCACAUACAUUGCCUCGAGGUCGUGGGAAACAAAAAAAACUAGAGUUAAUCAUUGGAUCUUCCCUUAAUAUUUAUGAUAAUGCAAUUAUCAUGCCUAACUUAAACCCAUUAGAACACAAUUGAAUGAAAAGAAUGGAAAAUAUCAAGACUUAGUCGGUGAUCAAAUGGAGUAAUCACGAUAUUAAGAAUUACAAAAUAAUUGUAAGUACAAUCUACAAUCUUUUAGAAAAAUUGUGUCCAU
rnacentral:lncRNA from 1 species